rnacentral:rRNA from 1 species
GCUCAACCGGGGAGGGUCAUUGGAAACUGGGGAACUUGAGUGCAGAAGAGGAGAGUGGAAUUCCACGUGUAGCGGUGAAAUGCGUAGAGAUGUGGAGGAACACCAGUGGCGAAGGCGACUCUCUGGUCUGUAACUGACGCUGAGGCGCGAAAGCGUGGGGAGCGAACAGGAUUAGAUACCCUGGUAGUCCACGCCGUAAACGAUGAGUGCUAAGUGUUAGAGGGUUUCCGCCCUUUAGUGCUGCAGCAAACGCAUUAAGCACUCCGCCUGGGGAGUACGGUCGCAAGACUGAAACUCAAAGGAAUUGACGGGGGCCCGCACAAGCGGUGGAGCAUGUGGUUUAAUUCGAAGCAACGCGAAGAACCUUACCAGGUCUUGACAUCCUUUGACAUCCCUAGAGAUAGGGCUUCCCCUUCGGGGGCAGAGUGACAGGUGGUGCAUGGUUGUCGUCAGCUCGUGUCGUGAGAUGUUGGGUUAAGUCCCGCAACGAGCGCAACCCUUGAUCUUAGUUGCCAGCAUUCAGUUGGGCACUCUAAGGUGACUGCCGGUGACAAACCGGAGGAAGGUGGGGAUGACGUCAAAUCAUCAUGCCCCUUAUGACCUGGGCUACACACGUGCUACAAUUGGCAGAACAAAG